CCUACGGGUGGCAGCAGUGAGGAAUAUUGGUCAAUGGACGAGAGUCUGAACCAGCCAAGUAGCGUGAAGGAUGACUGCCCUAUGGGUUGUAAACUUCUUUUAUAAAGGAAUAAAACGAGGCACGUGUGCCUGUUUGCAUGUACUUUAUGAAUAAGGAUCGGCUAACUCCGUGCCAGCAGCCGCGGUAAUACGGAGGAUCCGAGCGUUAUCCAGAUUUAUUGGGUUUAAAGGGAGCGUAGAUGGGUUGUUAAGUCAGUUGUGAAAGUUUGCGGCUCAACCGUAAAAUUGCAAUUGAUACUGGCAGUCUUGAGUACAGUUGAGGUAGGCGGAAUUCGUGGUGUAGCGGUGAAAUGCUUAGAUAUCACGAAGAACCCCGAUUGCGAAGGCAGCUUACUAAACUGUGACUGACAUUGAUGCUCGAAAGUGUGGGUAUCAAACAGGAUUAGAUACCCCUGUAGUC
rnacentral:rRNA from 1 species